CAUGAGGAAAGGGACAGUGAUAUGAUUUGGUUGGUUCGUCACCUAGAUCUCAUCUUGAAUUGUAGCUCCCAUAAUCCCCACGUGUUGUGGGAGGGACCUGAUGGGAAGUAAUGGAAUCAUGAGGUUCCUGUGCUGUUCUCAUGACAGUGAGUAAGUCUCACGAGAUCUGAUGGUUUUAUAAAGGGUAGUUCCCCUGCACUCCUGUUAAGAAGGACAUGUUUGCUUCCCUUUCCACCAUAUUGAGAGAAGACUGUUCUCUGGUCAAGUUUGUGCUUCUGGGAACAUCUCAUCAAACGUCCUGCCAGCGGGCUUAGUACUGGAAUUUGAAUAUGGGCUUCUCUUUUCAUCAACCAGCUGUGUUGCUGUCAGCUUUUAUCUCGGGCUGGACACUUUGGAGUGUUUAACUGAAAGUGAUGAAAGGCACCAGGGGAGCCAGAAGAGCAGAAGAGGUGACAGCUGACCAGAAAGAGACUGGCUCUGCAGCCUGGGCAACCUGUCAUGGAAAGGUACUGCAGCUGCAGGCCUCAGAGCUGUCCAGAAUUACUCUCAUGAACAUGUUUGGGAAAGAAGUUAUGAAGUAGAGGCAAGAGUGUGUUACAGAACUGCUUAAUCCCAUUGCCUGAGCCUUCCAGCCUGGAGAUUAUCCAUCAUGUGACUAAGAAUGAGAUGACACCUGUACAGAUACACGAUUUGCCUCUCAGCUGUUUAGCUGUUUCUAUAAGAAGCCUGAGCCGUUAAGGUACUCUCAGGGCAGGAAUGACCUAGAAGAGAUGGAAUAUAAGCUCAAGACAAUAAGAUGGGGGCCUGGUCAAACACCCUUCCUUAUGUGAACUAGGAAUCUUGGUUAUAGCCCAUGUUUUUCCUUCUUCUCCAAACCCAGGUGAUGAUUUUGGUUUAAGAGCCUCAUCUAUGAGAAAUUCCAUAUCAAAAUUAUUGCAGGGAGAAUAGACCUCUUCCAUUAUCUAGAACAAAAGUUAGUAUUUUCCCCUAUGUCUUCUCUUUUCUUUCUUCUGUACUUCCUAUUACUUUUGGUGCUGUAGAAAAAUUUCUCUGUCCAAAAAGACGUGAAAUAUUUCAGACAUAUUUUACCAAGGGUGUGUGUAGCACACAUCAACUUGCUUGAGCUUCUCUGAUAUAUAGCCAAUGUUUUAAUGUUCCCAUUUAGCCAAUCCAUAAUACAUCUUCACAGUGUUGGCCUAAUCACAAAUGACAAGGGUGGAAAAUGUAAUAAAGACAGGGGCACAUUAAUCUACUUUGUAUGAAAAUGUGGAAAGGUAAUCCAAUUUUGAACUGCUUGCUCUUACAAAAUAUACAUAAGUUUGUAUGAUUUCUGCAUCUUAGUUGGGGAGAUGGUAGUCAAUCCUAAAGAGUUAUAUUUCAGGUAAAGAGUCCUCAGUCCCUUACAUGUAUGCACAGAGGUAGUGGCCCAUACUGAGAAAUAAAGAUGGGGACUCUGGGGAAUGAGUUGCCUGAUGGUCUAUUGGAAGCCUCUAUAUCUGGCAAUAUUCAGGGGUGUUCAUUCCUGUAGGUCUUAGAGAGAGAUUCCAAUAUUAGGGAUGCUGUUGUGUCUUCCCCUGCAUAGCCCCUAAGGCUAGUUCAUAUGAAAAGUAAAUCUGACUCUGCUCCCUAAAAACAAAGAUGAAAAAUCCAUAGAAGGGAGGUAGAUUCAGCUAGAAAGUGUAUUUCUAGCAGGGGAGUUGGUGUGAGGGAGAGAAUAGUUAUGAUGAAGUCAGGCUUGUCUUAAACCACAUCUGAUGUCAUUCCAAUCACUGUGUGUGUCUGCACUUGUGGGUUGUCUGCAUGGCAUGCAUGAAUGUUGAUGCAUCUGCAGUGCUCUCACCCAGCAGAGAAGCAUAGAGAAAUGUGAGCUCUGGACUUAAAGAGCGCUGAGUGUUAAUCUCACUUUCUAUUUGCUCUGCGACAUGACUAGCAGUCCAACUCCUCUGAAUCCCAGUUUCUUUUUCAGUGAAACAGAGAUUGUACUAGUUAUCUCUUAGGAUUAGUAGAAAUACAGGACCCAGAAAUUCUAUUCUUAGAUAUCUACCCAAGAUAAAUACAAACAAAACAUAGGCAAAUGUGUACAAAAACUUGUACAUGGAUGUUCAUAGCAACAUUAUUCACUAUAGAUAAAAGGUGGAAACAACCCAAAUGUCUAUCAACUGACAAAUGCAUAAACAAAAUGUGGCUUAUUAUUGAAAUAAACAAUGGAAAAUUAUUCAGCCAUUAAAAGGAAUGAAGUACUGACGCAUGCUACAGCAUGAAUUUGCCUUUAAAACAUUAUGCUAAGUGAAAGAAUCUUGUCACAAAAGACCACAUAUAUGAUCCCUUUGUAUGAAAUGUCCAGAAAACAGAAAGAUGUAGUGACAGAAAUGAGAUUCAUGGUUGGCCUAAAUUUUUUUCAGUAAAAGCAGCUUUCCUUCCUGUUUGAGGAGGAUCGUUUCUUCUUUCUUGUGAACUUAUACUGGUUUUCCUGCCAUGUUCUUUCCUUACAAGGGCUUCUGAUUCUCCUAAGGACAUAUCUCCACCACGGUUUUUCUCUUCCUCAGCUAUAACCAGUAUCACAUCCUAGCAAGUGACUCCCAGAAGAUGAGGUUCACAAAAGGACCUAUAAAAAAUUAUAGUACACACCAAAAUAAUUGCAUGAUUUUUCCAAUUUAUAUAAAUAGAAUCCAUGUGUGUGGGAAUAGAUCCUAAGGCUGUUGGAUAAUGGUGAAAGGAAUAUAUAUAAUAUUGGACUGAGGAUCUGGGAAUAAUCCUACUAGCUUGUUUGCUAGGUUGACUAAAAGCUGGACAUGAAAUUGACCUAAAUUAUGUUAAAUGGAAAUGCUAAAAAUCCCCUGGCAUAUUGUAAAGGAAAAUAUCUAUUGGCUUAAGAAAACUAGGAUGCUAGAGUGGAUGUUAUUAAGUAAAAACAUGCCUUGUUAGUAUAUCCCCUAGAGGACUCAUUCUUCACUAAUGCUAUGAAAAAUAUAUUGAUGAGCAGUCCCCUUGCAUCCUUGAAGAACUCUCUGAUAGAUCCAUUAACUACAUGAGGA
rnacentral:lncRNA from 1 species